GAUGAACGCUGGCGGCGUGCCUAAUACAUGCAAGUCGAGCGAACAGACGAGGAGCUUGCUCCUCUGACGUUAGCGGCGGACGGGUGAGUAACACGUGGAUAACCUACCUAUAAGACUGGGAUAACUUCGGGAAACCGGAGCUAAUACCGGAUAAUAUAUUGAACCGCAUGGUUCAAUAGUGAAAGACGGUUUUGCUGUCACUUAUAGAUGGAUCCGCGCCGCAUUAGCUAGUUGGUAAGGUAACGGCUUACCAAGGCAACGAUGCGUAGCCGACCUGAGAGGGUGAUCGGCCACACUGGAACUGAGACACGGUCCAGACUCCUACGGGAGGCAACAGUAGGGAAUCUUCCGCAAAGGGCGAAAGCUUGACGGAGCAACGCCGCGUGAGUGAUGAAGGUCUUCGGAUCGUAAAACUCUGUUAUUAGGGAAGAACAAAUGUGUAAGUAACUAUGCACGUCUUGACGGUACCUAAUCAGAAAGCCACGGCUAACUACGUG
rnacentral:rRNA from 1 species